AGAGAACACCAUGUGAUCAUUGAGGCAGAGAACUCCGGGGACUGCCAACAAACCUCUGCCAGAAGCCAGGAAAGAGGCACGGGACAGAUUUUACUCUACGGACUUCAGAGAAAGCAUGGGCUUGCUUAUGCCUGGAUUUCAGAAUUACAGCCUCCAGAAUUGCUCUACAAAGCGAGGAUUGUGUGGAUCCUAAAGGCAGUAUCUCAUUCCACAGUCAGGCGUGAAGGCUACAGAUUGUCAUUUCACAAUGAUGGAUGUCUGUGAAGGAAAAGAGAACAUCUCAGGAAAAAUGAUAAAAGCUGAAGUUUAGUCUUUUUCUAAAUGUUGUUUCCCUUAGAAAGGCUUUACAUUUUUCUUGUCAUUUUUACCAUUUUACCUUAAAUUUUCCUUGGAGAAAAAGAGAGAAAGAGAGAGAAAGCAACCUUUUAUAUCUGAGAUUCUCACAUGCACAAAAGAUGGAAGAAAUUAAUAGAAUAUGGAUUCAGUUAUAUUGUUAUGUGAAAUGAAAACCCUAAUUAAUAAGAUGAAAUACACAAGGUAUUAAUUUAAAUUCCUCUACAUAGGUUCAUCAGAAAUUAAUUGGAAAAAUAUAGGAUGAUGGAAAACUGACUUAACUGAAUUUUAGGUGAAAAUAAACCUGGGUGGAUCAAAUCAGCUUUACAAUUCCAAACAAGCCAACUGUGUGAUGUGGCAGCCAAAAAUAUCUAAUGAAUCCUCAAACUACAUUAGCAAAAUUAUAGUGGCCAGAGCAAACAAAGUAAUAAUUCUCUGGCACUUUGCUUGGCCCAGACCACAUCUGGAGCUAUGUGUUAAUUUCUGGAUCACAUUGACAGUUAGUAAUUAUAGGGCAGCCACAGGAAGAUAAUCAGUUGUUUAGGAAUAUGGAAACCAAGGCAUAUGAGAAACAUUUGGAAAAAAAUUGUGCUUAACCUAGGGGAAAAGAAGAUACAGAAGUUGUCUUCAAAUCUUUGAAUGAUUGUUACAUGGAAAGGAGUUAAUAUUUAU